rnacentral:rRNA from 1 species
UAGGGAAUCUUCGGCAAUGGACGAAAGUCUGACCGAGCAACGCCGCGUGAGUGAAGAAGGUUUUCGGAUCGUAAAACUCUGUUGUUAGAGAAGAACAAGGACGUUAGUAACUGAACGUCCCCUGACGGUAUCUAACCAGAAAGCCACGGCUAACUACGUGCCAGCAGCCGCGGUAAUACGUAGGUGGCAAGCGUUGUCCGGAUUUAUUGGGCGUAAAGCGAGCGCAGGCGGUUUCUUAAGUCUGAUGUGAAAGCCCCCGGCUCAACCGGGGAGGGUCAUUGGAAACUGGGAGACUUGAGUGCAGAAGAGGAGAGUGGAAGUCCAUGUGUAGCGGUGAAAUGCGUAGAUAUAUGGAGGAACACCAGUGGCGAAGGCGGCUCUCUGGUCUGUAACUGACGAUGAGGCUCGAAAGCGUGGGGAGCAAACAGG